GCAAGACCUCGACAAAGCGGAAGGCCAGGGCAGCGGGAGCCAGCAGGCGCGGGGCCUCCGAGGGCUCGGCCGACAGGCACAGCUGCACGAAAUUCUUGUCGAAGUGCAGGAAGCCUCUCACUUGAACCAGGACCUCAGAGACCUUGGCUUGGCUUUCACUGAUGCCCUGCUGGCCAGAGCUGAUGCCAGAAUGGUCGAGAACAACCACCAGUGGCCCAGUCUGGAGGCAGCCCUCAGUGGGGCAGCUCAGGAGAGAAGAGUGGAUCGUGGAGGGGCACAACCCCAGCCUUGCCUGCCUGGCCUCAGCCCUGCCUCCCACUGGGCCAGCCACCGCUAUGCUUCGUUGCUCUUUAAACAGAUGAGAAAAUGUUCUUCUUCCCUUCCCAAUGAUUUAUUUGGCCCGAAGCCUGGGCAGGUUUCCUUACAGCCAGGAAGGCCUAAGAAUACCCCUCCCUCAGCCCCUGCUGGCCACUGCCAAUCAGCCAGGUAGCCAUGGCAGCCCAAAGCUGCAGGCACCAAGAUCUCCUUACAGUCCCUCAGCCCUACCCCAGAGCACUAUCAGGGGCUCAUACUGUCUCCCAAAGACAUCCAAAUCCACAUGACAGUCUUCUACCAGGGGCUGCCCAAGGCUCUUAUGACCAAUACCUCACUGCUCUAGAUGUCACAGAUCCUGGAAUGGUACCGUGGAAAGGGUGGACAAGCCCUCUGCCUGUGAAAAGUCCUGCACAUCUAGCCUCUAUCCUUCCUGCUACAGAUGUCAAAGGGGUUCAGAGCAGGGGCAAAAGCUGGGUGUUUGUUGUUUUCUUGGUGCUGUAGAUUAGGGGGCAAAGGGAAGAUUGGUUGCUCCCUACCCAAACCUUCCAGAAGGUCAGUGCGUGGUUUGUGUUUGUGUGCAGGGCUCUGAGCAGUAGCUGCAUUCUCUGGCCCCUGGCCCCUGGGGCAGAGGGUAUAGAAGACCCUUAGAGUCCUUGGUGAUCUUCCCAUCUUAUACUGAAGGGUAUGCACAAGAGCCUUCACUCACUCAUUCAACAAUUAUUUAUUGAGUGUUUACUAUGUUCUAGCCGGUGGGAUCCAGGCCAUCAGCAAGUCCCGUUGCUUCUACCUCCCAAAAUAUCCCAAAUCUAUUCACUCUUCACAUCCCCACUGCCAACAGAAUCCAAGCCACCAUCAUCUGGUGUCUGGAUUCUCCUUAUUUAAUCUCUAGGCUCCCACUUCUACCUUCCCACCCCAAUCCAUUCUCCCCAGAGCCCACAGCGCCAUCUUUGCAACAUGUAAAUUAGAAUACCUCUUCUUAAGCCCUCCAAUGGCUUCUCACUGUUAUUAGCACCAUGACCUUCCAGGCCCUUCAUGAUCUGGCCCUUAUCAGCCUCUUAAGUCAUCUCCACUACCACACCCCCACACUAUGGUGGAAUAACACAGGCCUCCUUGCUGUUCUUGGAAAACUGCAAACCUUUCUUCCCCAGCACUUGCCAUGGCUGACUCCUCAUCAGCAAGGUCUCAGUGCCAACAUCACAUCCUCUAGGAGGCCUCCCCUGAUUACACUAAAGCAGCCCUAUCCCCCCACCUGCAAAGCUCCACCCCAUGGCCUUGUUGUAUUUCCAUCAUAGCAUUUGCUGCUCUGCAAACAUGUUGUCUUCUUACACACACGCCAUCUGUUUGCCCCACUGGACUAUGGGUUCUGUACAGGCAGGGACCUUGCCCACCCAUUCACAGCUGAAUCCCCUGGCACAAAGCAGUAUGCCAGUACAUGGUAGGUACUCAGUAAAUACCUGCUGAGUGAAUGAAUGGUGGAAGGGCAAGCAAAGACCUCACAGAGCUUCUGUUCUGU